rnacentral:rRNA from 1 species
GACGAACGCUGGCGGCGUGCUUAACACAUGCAAGUAGAACGAUGAAGAAGAGAAACGCGAACUUCGGUUCAAAUUUCACUUAGGAUUAGUGGCAGACGGGUGAGUAACGCGUGAGCAACCUACCUCUUACAAAGGGAUAGCCUCGGGAAACCGUGAUUAAUACCAUAUGACACAUUCAUAAGGCAUCUUAAGAAUGUUAAAGCUACGGCGGUAAGAGAUGGGCUCGCGUCCCAUUAGCUAGUUGGUGAGGUAACGGCCCACCAAGGCGACGAUGGGUAACCGGCCUGGGAGGGUGAACGGUCACAUUGGAACUGAGUCACGGUCCAAACUCCUACGGGAGGCAGCAGUGGGGAAUAUUGCACAAUGGAGGGAACUCUGAUGCAGCGACGCCGCGUGAGCGAUGAAGGAAUUCGUUUCGUAAAGCUCUGUUCUAUGGGAAGAAAAGGACUGUACCAUAGGAGAGAGCCCCGGCUAAAUACGUG